rnacentral:rRNA from 1 species
AGAAUCAACGCUGGCGGCGUGCCUCAGACAUGCAAGUCGAACGCGAAAGUCCCCUUCGGGGGACGAGUAGAGUGGCGCACGGGUGAGUAACACGUAGGUAAUGUACCUUUGGGUGGGGAAUAACUUAGGGAAACUUAAGCUAAUACCGCAUAAUGCAGCGGCUCCUUCGGGAGACAGUUGUUAAAGAUUUAUCGCCUAAAGAGCAGCCUGCGGCAGAUUAGCUAGUUGGUAAGGUAACGGCUUACCAAGGCUACGAUCUGUAUCCGACCUGAGAGGGUGGUCGGACACACUGACACUGAAUAACGGGUCAGACUCCUACGGGAGGCAGCAGUCGGGAAUUUUGGGCAAUGGGCGAAAGCCUGACCCAGCAACGCCGCGUGAAGGAUGAAGUCUCUCGGGAUGUAAACUUCGAAAGAAUAGGAAGAAUAAAUGACGGUACUAUUUAUAAGGUCCGGCUAACUACGUGCCAGCAGCCGC